rnacentral:rRNA from 1 species
GACAGAGGCCUCAAGCGUUUAGGCGGAAUCACUGGGCUUAAAGCGUGUGUAGGCGGAUCGUUAAGUGUCUUGUGAAAUCCCACGGCUCACCCGUGGAACGGCUGGGCAUACUGGCGAUCUUGGGCCAACUAGGGGCAACUGGAACAAGCGGUGGAGCGGUGAAAUGCGUAGAUAUCGCUUGGAACGCCAAAGGUGAAAACAGGUUGCUGGGGUUGUGC